GCCAACACUUUCACUGGGCUCCAAUAGUUCCCCUUUCAUCAGCCUUUGCUGAGUGAUUGUGAGGUGGCACAACAGAAAGACCAUAGGAUUUGGCAUCAAAGGACUGGGGUCCACAUCUUUUGUCACUAGUUGUGCUACCUUGGGCAAAUCAUUUAACCUCUCUGGACUUAGUUUCAUCCUAUUUAAAAUGCAGAGGUUGAACCAGAUGACGUCUAUGCUUCUCUCCCUGCCUUGUUCUUUUGCCAGAAUCUUUCCUACCAUGCUACCAAUCUUAUAUCAACAUGCUCUAUUCUCAACAGGUAUAAUGGGUCCUCCAAACUGUCUGCUGUUCUUCUGCAGCUGUUCCAACACUGCUCUCUUUCUAGGAGAUGGUGCCAGCUUUUGAGGAGGUGGAAGACAGAUGUUGCUCCCGUGGAUGGCUGCCAGAUGCUGCUGAGCCUAGACAGGCGGUCUCUGCUGCACAUUGCUCAUCACUCCACCAACUCCAGUGCCCGGCUCAGAUAAACUCAUCGAUAGAUAGACUCCCCAGCCCCCACCCCAGCUCUUUUAGCAAAGACAGACGUCUUUUACUCUAGAACAGCAGAAAAGCCUCUCCUUUCUUCAAGGGAAUAUAGCCAAUAGCCAAGUGGCUACUGAGACCUCUGAUCUCACUGACAGCAGACUCUCAGCCCCAGAUGCCAAGCUCUUUAGAAGGAAGAAUAGGGUUGUCUCAAAAACUAAUGCCCUUGGGCUUAAUCUUUUGACUCCUCUUCCUGGUGUGGAAUUUGAAGCCUUCUGUCACAGAUUGCAUCCUAGCUUAUGGUGAGUAUUUUAUAAACGUCACAAUUGUC
rnacentral:lncRNA from 1 species